GACGAACGCUGGCGGCGUGCUUAACACAUGCAAGUCGAACGGAAAGGCCCUGCUUUUGUGGGGUUCUCGAGUGGCGAACGGGUGUGUAACACGUGAGUAACCCGCCCUUUACUUUGUGAUAUCUUCAGGAAACUGCGGCUAAUACCUGAUAGGAGCUCCUGCUGCAUGGUGGGCGUUGGAAAGUUUCGGCGGUUGUGGAUGGACUCGCGGCUUAUCAGCUUGUUGGUUGGGUAGUGGCUUACCAAGGCUUUGACGGGUAGCCGGCCUGGGAGGGUGACCGGGGACAUGGGGACUGAGAGAGGGCGCAGAAGGCUACGGGAGGCAGUAGGCGAGAAUAUGGCACAGUGAGCGGAAGCGUGAGGCGGAGGCGCCGGGAGCGGGAUGAAGGGCUUCGGGGUGUAAACCGCUGUCGCCGGUGACGAAGCGGGAGUGACGGUAAUGGGUAAAGAAGCACCGGCUAACUACGUG
rnacentral:rRNA from 1 species